GACGAACGCUGGCGGCGUGCCUAAUACAUGCAAGUUGAGCGCUGAAGGUUGGUACUUGUACCGACUGGAUGAGCAGCGAACGGGUGAGUAACGCGUGGGGAAUCUGCCUUUGAGCGGGGGACAACAUUUGGAAACGAAUGCUAAUACCGCAUAAAAACUUUAAACACAAGUUUUAAGUUUGAAAGAUGCAAUUGCAUCACUCAAAGAUGAUCCCGCGUUGUAUUAGCUAGUUGGUGAGGUAAAGGCUCACCAAGGCGAUGAUACAUAGCCGACCUGAGAGGGUGAUCGGCCACAUUGGGACUGAGACACGGCCCAAACUCCUCCGGGAGGCAGCAGUAGGGAAUCUUCGGCAAUGGACGAAAGUCUGACCGAGCAACGCCGCGUGAGUGAAGAAGGUUUUCGGAUCGUAAAACUCUGUUGGUAGAGAAGAACGUUGGUGAGGGUGGAAAGCUCAUCAAGUGACGGUAACUACCCAGAAAGGGACGGCUAACUACGUGCCAGCAGCAGCCGCCG
rnacentral:rRNA from 1 species